rnacentral:rRNA from 1 species
AACGAACGCUGGCGGCAUGCCUAACACAUGCAAGUCGAACGCGACCUUCGGGUCUAGUGGCGCACGGGUGCGUAACGCGCGGGAACCUGCCCUUAGGUUCGGAAUAAAUCCCCGAAAGGGGGGCUAAAAUCGGAUAUUGUUUCUGGAGCAAAGAUUUAUCGCCAUUGGAUGGGCCCGCGUUGGAUUAGCUAGUUGGUAGGGUAAAAGCCUACCAAGGCGACGAUCCAUAGUUGGUCUGAGAGGAUGAUCAGCCACACUGGGACUGAGACACGGCCCAGACUCCUACGGGAGGCAGCAGUGGGGAAUAUUGGACAAUGGGCGAAAGCCUGAUCCAGCAAUGCCGCGUGAGUGAUGAAGGCCUUAGGGUUGUAAAGCUCUUUUACCCGGGAUGAUAAUGACAGUACCGGGAGAAUAAGCUCCGGCUAACUCCGUG